UGCAGUCGUGCGAGAAGGGUCUUUUUGCUUGCAUUAGGACCUGGAAAGCGGCGAAAGGGAGAGUAACGCGUGGAUUAUCUACCCCUGGGUCCGGGAUAGCUGUGGGAAACUACAGGUAAUACCGGAUAACGUCCAGUAAUAUGACGUUGUUGGACCAAAGGUGUGAUUCCGUCUGGGGAUGAGUCCGCGCCCUACUAGCUAGUUGGUGGGGUAACGGCCUACCAAGGCAAUGAUGGGUACCGGGUGUGAGAGCAUGGCCCGGCUCACUGGGACUGAGACACUGCCCAGACACCUACGGGUGGCUGCAGUCGAGAAUCUUCCGCAAUGGGCGCAAGCCUGACGGAGCGACGCCGCGUGCGGGAUGAAGGCCUUCGGGUUGUAAACCGCUGUCAGUUGGGAGGAAAUGCUAUAGGGUACUCUCUAUAGUUUGACCGAUCUUCAGAGGAAGUCCGGGCUAAGUUCGUGCCAGCAGCCGCGGUAAGACGAACCGGACGAACGUUAUUCGGAAUCACUGGGCUUAAAGAGUGCGUAGGCGGCUUUGUAGGUGAGGUGUGAAAUCCCACGGCUCAACCGUGGAACUGCGCUUCAAACCACAAGGCUUGAGGGAGGCAGAGGUAAGCGGAACUGAUGGUGGAGCGGUGAAAUGCGUUGAUAUCAUCAGGAACACCAGUGGCGU
rnacentral:rRNA from 1 species